AAAAAAAUUAGCACAAAUUUAUGGAUUUCUUCUUCGGCAGCCCGACCUCGUGCAUAAGCCGCGGUGUCGCCUUGGAAAAAAACUCUACGCCUGACCUCGUGUAUAAGCUGAAGUGUCCCUUCGAAAAACUCUACGGGGCCUCACUCCAGGUUUAAGUAUAGACCUGCUAACUUUCCUGCCCUUAAUACAAGCUGGAUGGACGGAGCUAGUUGGACACUGUGGGUUUGAUAAUGAAUCACACGUCUGGCAGUAGCACUCUCGGGCAGAAACUGAGGCGUGGGGCACAG